rnacentral:rRNA from 1 species
ACGGAGGGUGCAAGCGUUAAUCGGAAUUACUGGGCGUAAAGCGCGCGUAGGCGGCGUGUUAAGUCAGAUGUGAAAGCCCUGGGCUUAACCUGGGAACUGCAUUUGAUACUGGCAUGCUAGAGUUUGGUAGAGGUAAGUGGAAUUCCGGGUGUAGCGGUGAAAUGCGUAGAUAUCCGGAGGAACACCAGUGGCGAAGGCGGCUUACUGGACCAAAACUGACGCUGAGGUGCGAAAGCGUGGGGAGCAAACAGG